CGCCAAGCUCCGCGGCGGAGCACAGAAAUCGUGGGUCGCCCCCUGCUGGCGAGAGCAACCCGAGCGUGCGCAGGCGCAGGAGGCUCCGCAGGGUGUGGGGUCAUGUUCCCCGCGCUGGCCCCACCAUGCUCCUUGGCUAUGAAUCCUGUGUUCCUUGUUGCAUUCAGAAUUGAGAACAAUCUCACACCCGCGGCAAAACUUCACUGCACUGCAAAACCCCGUGCCUUGAACAAAGGUUUUCUUAACGUCUUUGCUAAGUGCUAGAAAUUUUUCUCUUAGCAAUUCCUGAAAGUUUAGAUGGCAUAAUAGAAAAAAAGUAUGUACAUAUUAUCUAUACAUUAUUUAUAUAUACAAUAAAUUAUAUAUACAUAUAGUGGUGUGUAUAUAUACAUAUAGUGGUGUGUAUAUGUUACAGAUACAUGGACUUUCUCCAGCAACAUACAGCAAAAUUAUGAUUUUUUUAAGCUGUGGAAUAGUUAUAGUUAACGAUCUCUUGAGAUUGAUCUGAAUUAAUGUGGGUGUCUAGACUGUAUAAAAAUUUAGCACCAUUUCACGCUGGUGGCCUUACUUCUAAAUCUGUUUCUUCAGUACCUCUAGUGAGUGAACAUUUUCAUUUUGAUUUCAUGGUCCUGUUUUAAGCGUGGUCUGACAGUAAACCCCAAAUUACUUUGCAAGAGCAGUCUGCCUCGUAGAGUUGUUUUACAGAGCAAACUAGCCCCGUUUCAGAAGUGGGAAGUUCAGAGCUAUUACUGUAUUUGAACUUCUCCUGAAAACACAUGAAUCAUUUCGGCUGUGGCAGGACUGCCUAAGAGCUAAACAUGGGAGGCAUGGGUAUGAUUGGAAGCCUGAGGAAGACCUAUUGGCCACAGCACUGGGGCCUGAUACGUUCUUUGUGUCUCGUUCUAGAACUUUCCAAAUUAGGAUGAUUAGAAGACUCUUUAAAACAAAGUGCUAUAGGUUGGGGAAUGUAUCUCCUGAAGGGAUGGCUAUGCAUCUGAAAAUGGCUUCAGGCAUUUCUGUUGCUGUCACCCUGGAAGGUGUUGAUUAUCAGCACUACAUUUGAGAGAGACAGACGGAGAAGCAUGCUUCCUGUCUGUUGCCGGGUGAUACUCUGCCCUGCCUCAGGACGCUGACAGCAGGAAUAUCAUUACCAGAAGCCAAACCAGCGUGCCUGUCCUAACUUGGAACCAUUAGCCAAAAUAAAUCUCCUUUCUUAUAAAGUAACCUGCCUCAAUGUCUUGUUUGUUUUCUUCAUAGUAUUUGUUGAAUUCUUUUACUAAUUUAAGGGUUAACUAUACAACUAACAAGUAAACUGGAAAUAGAUCUUUGUAAAAAUUAAGAUUGGCAUUGUGAGAGG